GUUUCCGUAGUGUAGUGGUUAUCACGUUUGCAUCACACGCACAAGGUCCCCGGUUCGAUCCCGGGCGGAAACA